AUCAUGCGCGACCUGACGCAGCACGCCGCGUGAUUGAAGAAGGCCUUCGGGUUGUAAAGAUCUUUAAUUGGGGACGAAACAAAUGACGGUACCCAAAGAAUAAGCUCCGGCUAACUACGUGCCAGCAGCCGCGGUAAUACGUAGGGAGCGAGCGUUAUCCGGAUUUACUGGGUGUAAAGGGCGAGUAGGCGGGACGGCAAGUUGGGAGUGAAAUCUGGGGGCUUAACCCCCAAACUGCUUUCAAAACUGCUGUUCUUGAGUGAUGGAGAGGCAGGCGGAAUUCCCAGUGUAGCGGUGAAAUGCGUAGAUAUUGGGAGGAACACCAGUGGCGAAGGCGGCCUGCUGGACAUUAACUGACGCUGAGGAGCGAAAGCGUGGGGAGCAAACAGGAUUAGAUACCCUGGUAGUCCACGCCGUAAACGAUGGAUACUAGGUGUGGGAGGUAUUGACCCCUUCCGUGCCGGAGUUAACACAAUAAGUAUCCCACCUGGGGAGUACGGUCGCAAGGCUGAAACUCAAAGAAAAUUUGACGGAACUCAAGGAAUUGACGG
rnacentral:rRNA from 1 species